rnacentral:misc_RNA from 1 species
GCGAAGGAGAAACACGAAUCUGCACAAGAUGUUUCAGUUGCUUUAAGUGAAGGCAACCAAGUUAAUGUAAAAGGUGAGUUUCACGAUUCUCUCUCUGUGCCAGCUGAGGCAACUCCAAACUCUUGCGAAAAAGAGACUGCUUCACCUGAGACUCAUGUACAGGAAGUUGUACUUCCUGAGGAUAAUUUAGAUAAACCUACGAUUCCUCAGCAAUCAAAUGAAAAUUCUGCGCAUUUACUUCCCUUGGAUCAUGACCAAGCGUUGGACAAGCCUGAUGCAGAACCUGCUUCUGAUGUCAAGACUGGC